rnacentral:rRNA from 1 species
AAAAGCAAAUAAGGGCGUACGGCGGAUGCCUAGGCUUCUAGAGGCGAUGAAGGACGCGACAAGCUGCGAUAAGCUUCGGGGAGGUGCACAUAACCUUUAAUCCGAAGAUUUCCGAAUGGGGCAACCCAAUACCAUGAAGUGGUAUUACCCGCAAGGGGGCAAACCCGGAGAACUGAAACAUCUAAGUACCCGGAGGAAGAGAAAACAAUAGUGAUUCCCAAAGUAGUGGCGAGCGAAAUGGGAAUAGCCCAAACCAGUACUGUUUCGGCAGUGCUGGGGUUGUAGGACUGCGAUAUCUGUUGCUCGACGAAGUAGAAUGUGUUGGAAAGCACAGCCAUAGAGGGUGAAAGUCCCGUAUACGUAAGUUGUAGUAAAUGGUAGCAGUAUCCUGAGUAGCGCGGGACACGAGAAAUCCUGUGUGAAUCUGUCAGAACCAUCUGAUAAGGCUAAAUACUCCUAGAAGACCGAUAGUGCACUAGUACCGUGAGGGAAAGGUGAAAAGUACCCUGAAUAAGGGAGUGAAAUAGAUCCUGAAACCGUACGCCUACAAGCGGUCGGAGCCUCUAUAUGGGGUGACGGCGUGCCUUUUGCAUAAUGAUCCUACGAGUUACUCCUCACUAGCAAGGUUAACCCCGACAACGGGGGCAGCCGAAGCGAAAGCAAGUCUGAAUAGGGCGCUUAGUUAGUGGGGGUAGACGCGAAACCCAGUGAUCUACCCAUGGCCAGGUUGAAGCUCUGGUAACACAGAGUGGAGGACCGAACCAAUAGACGUUGAAAAGUCUUUGGAUGAGCUGUGGGUAGGGGUGAAAGGCUAAUCAAACUGGGAAAUAGCUCGUUCUCCCCGAAAUGCAUUUAGGUGCAGCCUCGAGGUGAGUUUACUAGAGGUAGAGCGACUGGUUGGAUGCGGGGGCUUCAUCGCCUACCAAAUCCUGUCAAACUCCGAAUGCUAGUAAAUAUACUCGGGAGUGAGGGCAUGGGUGCUAAGGUCCAUGUCCGAGAGGGAAACAACCCAGACUAUCUGCUAAGGCCCCCAAAUGUAUACUAAGUUGAUCAAACGUGGUCUGAUUGCACUGACAGCUAGGAUGUUGGCUUGGAAGCAGCCAUUCAUUUAAAGAGUGCGUAACAGCUCACUAGUCGAGCGAUCGGGCGUGGAUAAUAAUCGGGCAUUAAGUAUACUGCCGAAGCAAUAGCAUCGAAAGAUGGGUAGGGGAGCAUUCUAGUUGCGUAGAAGCAGUGCUGUAAGGCAUUGUGGAGCGUCUAGAAAAGAAAAUGUAGGAAUAAGUAACGAUAAAGCAGGCGAGAAACCUGCUCACCGAUAGACUAAGGUUUCCUGAACAACGCUAAUCGGUUCAGGGUUAGUCGGGACCUAAGGCGAACCCGAAUGGGGUAGUCGAUGGACAACGGGUUAAUAUUCCCGUACUUGUGUUUACUGCGAUGGGGUGACGGAGUAGUGAAAGUCCUGCGUACUGACGGAAUAGUACGUUGAAGCCAGUAGAUAUAGGACCUGUAGGCAAAUCCGCAGGUCUUGUCGAAGGUGAUAGUACUCGGAGUUUUCGAACAAAGAGAUAUGGACCUAAUCAGACUUCCAAGAAAAACCUCUAAGCAUCAGGUAAAUACGACUCGUACCGCAAACCGACACAGGUAGUCGAGGAGAGAAUCCUAAGGUGCUCGAGUGAAUCAUGGCUAAGGAACUAGGCAAAAUCGCCUCGUAACUUCGGGAGAAGAGGCGCCUCGCUUCGGCGAGGCCGCAGUGAAAAGGCCCAGGCGACUGUUUAUCAAAAACACAGGACUCUGCAAAAUCGAAAGAUGAAGUAUAGGGUCUGACACCUGCCCGGUGCCGGAAGGUUAAGAGGAGAUGUCAUCUUCGGAGAAGCAUUGAAUUGAAGCCCCGGUAAACGGCGGCCGUAACUAUAACGGUCCUAAGGUAGCGAAAUUCCUUGUCGGGUAAGUUCCGACCUGCACGAAUGGUGCAACGAUCUGGGCACUGUCUCAGCCAUGAGCUCGGUGAAAUUGUAGUAUCGGUGAAGAUGCCGGGUACCCGCAAUGGGACGAAAAGACCCCGUGAACCUUCACUAUAGCUU